UACGUAGGUGCGAGCGUUGUCCGGAAUUACUGGGCGUAAAGAGCUCGUAGGUGGUUUGUCACGUCGUCUGUGAAAUUCCGGGGCUUAACCUCGGGCGUGCAGGCGAUACGGGCAAUACUUGAGUGCUGUAGGGGAGACUGGAAUUCCUGGUGUAGCGGUGAAAUGCGCAGAUAUCAGGAGGAACACCAAUGGCGAAGGCAGGUCUCUGGGCAGUAACUGACGCUGAGGAGCGAAAGCAUGGGUAGCGAACAGGAUUAGAUA
rnacentral:rRNA from 1 species